rnacentral:rRNA from 1 species
UACAGAGGUCUCAAGCGUUGUUCGGAUUCAUUGGGCGUAAAGGGUGCGUAGGUGGUGGGGUAAGUCGGAUGUGAAAUCCCGGGGCUCAACCCCGGAACUGCAUUCGAAACUGCCUUGCUCGAGUACUGGAGAGGAGACUGGAAUUUACCGGUGUAGCAGUGAAAUGCGUAGAUAUCGUAAGGAAGACCAGUGGCGAAGGCGAGUCUCUGGACAGUUACUGACACUGAGGCACGAAGGCCAGGGGAGCAAACGGG